rnacentral:sRNA from 1 species
AAUCAAUUUAUUAAGCGAGAAAGGAAAUCUGAUCUGGGGAGACUGGAGAAAGCAAAACUCAUUAUUAUCGUCUGCAAUUGGUCAAGAGCAAGUGAGAGCUGUAAGCCCAAUAUAAACCGUUCAAUGACAGCGGCCGCAGCAGCAUUUGCUGUUGCUUCUGUUGUCUUCUGUGCGGCUUUUGUGACGUGGUCGUCGUGGACAUAUUCGUUGUCGUCAUCUCUGUUGUCCGCCCACAGUUAACACGUUCAGUGUUGGACUAGAAGUGCUCUGAGCAAGAGCCAUCGAAGGAUCUCCAAGAAGAGGGUGAAAGCAAACUGAUCAGCCGAACCACACGCCCAGCCAGUUAACCAGCCACGCCAGCCAACUAAACGAAAAUCAACCAACCAACCA